CCCCGCUCUCUACAGCCGAUCCAGGACCCACCAGGGCUAAUGCUGACAGACCAUGGGCAGAGCUCACCACCCCAGCAGACACUGGCCUGCCGUACCCACGGCACCCUCCAGUGCGAAGACCCUCCGGAGUCCAAGGACUCCAGAGAAGACAGGCCCCUGUCUCCUGACCUCAGCCGCUCCACUCUAAGCUACCCCCACCAGCCCUCUGGGUUAAAGGCUGGGUGUUUGCCUUUCGGUCAGGACCCAGCCGGUGGGUGCUGGGAGAACCCGGACCCCAGGCUGCAGCAGCUACUGGAGGAAAAGGAGCAGGCUGUGGCCGUGCUGCAGGAGAUGGUCAAGGUGCAGUGACCUGGGUGCCCCUCAAUGCCCAGACACCCCCCAGGAAGCAGGGGGGCUGCCUUCCCUUCUGGGAAGCCAGGACCCAGUGUGGGUAUGGCAGUAGGUGGGGCAGGCAAGGUCCCUGACCAGGGAGAACCCACAGUUAGUUUGACUAUUUAGAAAACAGCUUAACUGUGGAACAUUCCAAACAUACCCACAAGCAGAGAGAAGAGUAUGGUGGACCUCCAUUCCCCAUGACUCACCACCACCCAGCCUUGGCAGUUAUCAGACCCCAGGGCCCACGGGGACUAUAGACAGGUGCCACCACCCAGAGGUGCUGGAUCACAGGCCCCAGGGCUGGGGGCUGAGUCAGGGAGCAGAAAACACCCCCCAGCCCAGGGCCUAUGCCUGGUUCCGCAGGUGCACGGCUCUUCCUCUGCUCCUUCACUAAGGGUCUGCAGUGUUCCUGGGUUCAGGAAGUGCUCCGGUCCCUCGCUGACAUAGAGAGGGGGCACCCCCACCCCCACCCCUGUGGGAGCGCAGGCUGCGGGUUUGGACCUGAGACAGUGCAGGGAGGGUGGGGGUGUGCAGUCGGGUUUCAGGGCCAAAGAGCCAUCAAGAAUUGUGAGAACAGCACGGUUCCCUAGUGGAUACCCAAAUCUUGAUGAGCUGUUUUCUUGAGAAAGCCGGAAAGUGAUAUCAUCCUGUGGUUGGGAUUUGCUGAAGGCAGCAGAGAGGAAGUGAUAAGCAGCAUCGGAGCUGAGGUCACUGUCAUGCCCACGCUUGCGGCACCGGUCCAUGUGCCAGCAAAGUGCAUCGUAACCGCUUCACUUCACCAAACCCGGAGGGGAACACAGCUCCUCUGGCCCUUGAAGUGACGGCACAGCUGCCGCGAUGGUCGCCGAUGGGAGAUCCGCCCCGGGAGAAGACAGACUCCCGGGGGAGUGGGGGGCGUUCCUUGGUUUGCCUGUGGAACAGCAGCUGUGGGUCAUCCGGGCGGACGCGGACGGCGCUAGCUCCGCGAGCGGCCCCGGGUCUUCGCAGCUCGGACUGGGGAGUGGGCGUGGGGGCGCGGCCAGCCGCAUGGA